GUGAUGCAACAUGAACAGCAACAUGGCUGUCGAUAUUUAUAUUUUCCUGUAAUAAAACAGAAGUUAAAACAUGUAAAUCUCAACAUAAUCUCCAUCAAUUUUUGCGUUGAUACGAAACAAGAGAGACUUGUUAUGGCAUAAAUCUGUUAAAUUUACUCUUCAGAAAUUGUAAUAAACAACGUUUCAAGUUUCUACUCGGACUACUCUUAGCGUGAAAUCAUUAAUUUGCGAGAUCAUUUUCGUUUGAUGAGAAACUUGAACUAUGAGCUUUCGAGCGAUUUGGAUUGCAGCCAAAGAUAGUCAGGACAAAGGGCGUUUGUUGUUUACAAGGUAGGCAAAUAGUUAUAAAAAUAGCAGAAAGAGAU